rnacentral:tRNA from 1 species
UCCCAGGUAGUGAAAUGGCAUCACAACAGGUUCUGACCCUGUUAUUCUAGGUUCGAAUCCUAGCCUGGGAU